GCUACCCAAAAUUGGAAGAAGACAGAGGCAACUAUAAUACUGGGCAGUAGUCGCUGUUGUCCUACUGCUCAGAUGCUGUGCUGGCUGUGUAUCACACAGACAAGGUCACAUGUAAAUAACCCAGCUGCAGAUUUUGUAUAUACUGUGUACACAUUUCCUAUUAAACUGUUUGAAGUAUCUGUUUCAA